CCUACGGGUGGCUGCAGUGGGGAAUAUUGGACAAUGGGCGAAAGCCUGAUCCAGCCAUGCCGCGUGUGUGAAGAAGGCCUUCGGGUUGUAAAGCACUUUCAGUGGGGAAGAAAGCCUUGGGGCUAAUACCCUCGAGGAAGGACAUCACCCACAGAAGAAGCACCGGCUAACUCCGUGCCAGCAGCCGCGGUAAUACGGAGGGUGCGAGCGUUAAUCGGAAUUACUGGGCGUAAAGCGCGCGUAGGCGGUCUGAUAAGCCGGUUGUGAAAGCCCCGGGCUCAACCUGGGAACGGCAUCCGGAACUGUCAGGCUAGAGUGCAGGAGAGGAAGGUAGAAUUCCCGGUGUAGCGGUGAAAUGCGUAGAGAUCGGGAGGAAUACCAGUGGCGGAGGCGGCCUUCUGGACUGACACUGACGCUGAGGUGCGAAAGCGUGGGUAGCAAACAGGAUUAGAUACCCUAGUAGUC
rnacentral:rRNA from 1 species